CGCCCUCUGGAGGGAGACACAGGCCGGCUCUUGGCUUUCGGCGCCACCGCGUCCCUCUCGCUCCCGCCGCGGCCCCGGCCGCCCCUCUCGGGGGGCCGCGAGCGAGGCCGCCCCACCGCGCCGCCCCCAGCCCGCCGCCCCCUCGCUGCCGGCGCGGCGCGGCGCGGCGCGGCGCGGCGCGGCUCCCCCGCGGGGGACGGGGCCUCCCCGCCCGGGCAGCCCGCGGGCACGGCCGGGCCCCGGGGGGCGGCCGGGGGUUCCCCCCCUCCUCAAGCCACGUGUGCCGUCGCCGAAACUUCGCCGCCAGCCCCCGCCCCGCCGCUGGGGGGCCCGGAGACGGCGGCCCGGCCGCGGGGGGAGCUGCUGCCGGCGCCACGGGCCCAGCAGCAGCAGAGGCUGCCGGGGACCUGGUGCCUCGCCAACGGGUUUGGCACGGGAGGAGCGAGCGGCCGGACGGACAGCGCGGAGGCAGCGACCCCCGCCGCCUCGCCGGGACGCGCCCGCCCGCCGCCGGCCCCGCUCCCCGGGCGGCCCUUCCGCCGGCGCGGUGCGCGCAGGCUGCGCGCGGGGCCGCUGCUCCUGAAGGUGAAUCUCUCACUCUCCAAUUACUUUUCCCAAGAGGGAGAAGGAGGCACCAGGAGGGGGGAAGUCGUGCGGUGUCUGAAAGGCAAACCAAUCAGAGAUGCAAUAACGGGGGGACUGCUGCAGGACGCGCCGGGCUUUCCUGCCCUUCCCUGCUGGCGAGGCUGAAUCGGGGCCGCACUCAGCUGCCGGAGGGGCCAGGGCCACACCGGACUGCAGGACUUCCUCGCUCUCCUGGUUUCCGAUAGCUAACCCGUACUUCUUCCUCUCCGAAAAGAUUUUUUUUUUAAUACUCUGAAAUCGUGCACGAGAAACACAUCAAGUCAUCCCUCCCCUUCUCACUCGCUUCACCCCUCCUCUAGCAGCUCCUUGCCGGAUCCCCGGCUGCUUUCCAGAGAGGAGGGGGCAGACGGGCACCCGCAGCCGCCGCCCGAGCCGCUCCAUGCCCCGGGCGCCGGGGCAGCGCGGGGCUCUCGUCGGCGAUGCAGGCGCGGUGAGGCCGGAGCUGCGCCCCGACGUGAGGCGGCGGAUCGCUCGGCGCUUCCAGCGGGGAGCGGGGCUGCAGGAUGAAUAAGAGAUAUUUACAGAAGGCAACAAAAGGAAAACUGCUAAUAAUAAUAUUUGUUGUAACACUGUGGGGGAAGUUAGCAUCUGGUGCAAAUCAUCACAAAGCUCACCAUGUUAAAACUGGGACCUGUGAAGUGGUGGCGCUCCACAGAUGUUGUAAUAAGAACAAGAUAGAAGAAAGGUCACAGACGGUGAAGUGCUCCUGCUUCCCUGGGCAGGUAGCAGGUACCACCCGGGCAGCUCCUUCUUGUGUUGAUGCUUCAAUAGUGGAGCAGAAAUGGUGGUGCCACAUGCAGCCAUGUCUUGAAGGGGAAGAAUGUAAAGUUCUUCCAGAUCGGAAGGGAUGGAGCUGUUCCUCUGGAAAUAAAGUGAAAACAACUAGGUUCUCUUAUAUUCCCUCAGCUGUGACAGUAUUCCUGGAGCCAAAUGUGGGUGCACUACCUCAAAAAAACAGCAGUGGGAGCUGGUAAGAGUGGGGAAAAAUCAUCAGAGGAAUCUCUGAAGCUUGGGACAAAGGCAGAAAACACAUCAGUACUUCACUAACAGAGCAGCAGGUACCCUCAUAGAGAAGAUAAAAUUACAGGCAAACGUGUAAAACUCUUCAAGUCCGAAUGGAGAAGUAAAAAAGGAGGUUUCUGCUGUGCUUGAUGACAAUUUUUGAUUUUUCCACACACACAAAAUAUUCUGGCUCCACGUUGGAGCAGCAAUAGUUGUGAUGAAUCCUAGUCUUGGUCGGAUUCUAAGGAAGGGCCAGACGUUCGUUGAGGAACAAAGAGUCAAACCACUCCAGAAAAUGUGUUCCAGCCCUGGUUUAUUACUCACAGAGCAGCAGGUAACCCGAUAGCUAAAGACAAAUCAAGUCAACCUCAAGGCUGAUAACAUUAAACACAUCACACAGGAAUUUCAUUCCUCCAUGCAAUCCUUGAAGUGAAAUUUUAUACUUCUGGGGUGUAUCCUUCAGAAUCAAUUGUUUCAGUGAGAACCUGGCUUGUAAUCAGCAAAAGCCUUGAGAUCAAAAAUACUGGAAAGUUAUUUUGAACUUCUGUGUCACAAAGAUUUCAACAGAUUGAACUGUGUACACUUGUAAAAUUGCACUUGCGGAAGAAUUUGCAGCUGUAAUCGCAGGAGGUGAUAUUCAAAAGGUGGAGAAAGGCAGCAGUCUUUCAGAUUCUCCAUUCCAGACUGGUGGCUUUUCAUCUUGAUGAAGUCAGCCUCCAAAAUGUACUGGUUCCUUCUCUCUAAAAUGAACCCUGGUGCAGCAUUAAGAAUGCUGGUGGACUGCACACUACUUUAAUUAAAUUUCUGUUGCAGAAAUUGUCCUCUGGCAUGGCACAGUUCUAGACAUUUUUAUUUGUAUUCUAAUCUUGGAGCUCUGAAAGGUACAUAUUUCAACAUCUUGAAGUUACUUUUGUUAUAGGAAUGGAAAUAUAUAUCCAUUGUUAAUAAUUAUUGUUGACAAGUAAUAGUUAUCUGAAUACAUCAGUCAUAUUAGAAUGUAUAGUCAGGCUGACAUGUUUCCCUAAGGCUAACCAACUACUGCAGCUCUUUGGCAGUUAAAAAAGUAGUGGUCAAAACUCAAUUACCAUUUCCAUUAUAAGGCAUUUUAUACCUUUAAGAUAUACAUUUCCAUUUAGUUUGAAGGAGAUGGGUGUUCCUGCUCUAUACUUUACUCUCCUAGCCUUUAAUUCUUUGAAAUUCAUGGUAAGCACUCAAUGACACUAUUUUAUCCCUUUUUAUAAAGGUAGGCAGGGAUGUAUAUGAGUUUUGCAAUUCUGAAAUUGGAUGGUACUCAUUCAGAUUGUUUUUAUUAAAAAAUAAAAUCUCUUGCUUGAACCCAAGUACUGUUGGAUGCUUAUGUAGAUGUCUGCUCAUUCUAUUUGCUAUAAAGGAAAAAGCACUUACAAUCAUCCAAUUCAGAUCUUCUGAUCCUUGCCAAAAUCAUUAUCUCAUGACAACAUUUACUUUUUAUUUUCUAUUUCAGUAGCAAUUUUUUGAACUUUGUGAUGUGCUGUUCCAUGAAAAAAAUCUUCAAUAUUUAAAGGCCUUAAGCAUCUAUGAGCUUUUUUCUAAGUUAUUACAGAAUGUAUAAUUUUAUAGUCCAUUUAAUGUAUAUUGUACCAUCUGUAAUAUUGAUACAACAGAGAGCUGGCAAUUCCUUUUAGUGACACUGCAUAAGCAUGCUGACUGGAGAGGGUGAGAGGGUUCUGACUGUCUGCUUUGGUGCACUGAAAUGAAAACCACGCACACUUGUUGGUAGUCAAAAAUACAUAGGGGCAAACUUAUCUAAAUGUCCUGUGUGGUUACCAGACUCUCAGAGAAAGAGGGAAACCCUUUUAUCAUUGCAAGCCAUUGACAUGGUUAGGUAGUUAUAAAAUAAGUUCCAUGAUGGAUGAACACCCUGGAGUGCUCUGUCUGUCACAGUAUCCCCUGCUGUUCCAAAACCAUUUCAUUACCUCUGCUGUAUUAUUGCACAGGAGAGCUUAAAAUAAAUGAUUGCUGGGAAUAAAAUUGAGAUGUAUAUUUUAUCAUUCUGCUGAGGAAUAAUCAAAGAUGUUGGCAGAGAAAGAUAUUCUUUUCUGAUUAAAAUUUAAUUAGGAUAAACUGUAGCAGCAACUAGGUAUCUCAGUAUUUUAGGAUGGAAUAAUAUUGUAUGGAUUUGUGCUAACAGGUGGGAGAGAAGGUAGCAUCUUAAAGAGAUUCUUCGUUUGGGACAGUGCAAAGUAUAAAUGUGCUAUAUUGUAAAAUCUGAAUAUGGCCUCUCUUUGGUCAAAAAUCUGCAUCAUGCUUCUCAACAUUUUUUUUUUGUUUCUUUGUUCUUAAAAAAACACUGAAAAAACUGUAUUAUAUACAAGUGUAACACAUGCAUAUCAAUAAGUGAAAAUAAAUGGAUUUUCAAAUAUACUGAAUAGAUUAUCUGCAGUAGAUUAAUGUUGUGAAUAUUCAUAACAAGUGAAUAAAAUUGUGAUAUAAAAUAGA